AGUUGAGUUGCAGUCUAGCCUGAAGGCAGGAGAGUGAGCAGGAUGAAUUAUUUAAUUCAUCUGAUGAUGCUAUGAUUGAACUAUUUCUCAUACACCAAAGAUAGAAGGUUGUAAGUGUAAUGCAUCCCUUGCACCUAAGCCCUUAACUGGCCCCCUUCUCAAAUGCUAAAGGGUAAUUCUAUCUCCGUAUUAACAUUGGACCUACUGAGUAAAUGAAGAACACCAAAUGCAAUCUGCAGAAAAC
rnacentral:lncRNA from 1 species